CUCCCGAACUCCGCCGCUUCCGGCUUCCGGUCCGUCAGUACUGUGUGGACGUUGAGAGUGUGAAAGUCAAAUAAUUUUUAUCUGUGAUCAUCCGAUAAGUGGUGCACAAGUUAUAUAACCUGAAUGGUUCCUUUUUAUUCACACUUUUGAGAAAUACUGAUGGAUAGCUCUUGUUCUGAUGUCUUGGAGUUGUUAUGAAUCCUUUUUAUUCUGGCACAAUGCAAUGGAUUCUUUUGCUUCGUGAUAUGGCUUGAUGAUGAACCCGAUGUGACACUCGAUUCUGACAAACAUCUGUGUCUUGUUCUUACACCCAAUCGGGUUCUAACCUUGGUUCUGAUGUGUGGUUCUAAACCUGAACCUGUUUCCGUACAAGACUAUCCUGAAGACAUCUGUGAUGUUGAUGUGUGCCGUUUGUGUGUGUGCAUGAGCCUGUUAGAGGUUAUCUCCGUCCACCGUGCUGUUGUUUUAAUUUCUUUUAAUGUGAAGUGAGGAGUUUUAGUUCUGAAUGUUCUAGUGGUACUAGAGUGUGUUUUAAUCUGAUUUUAUUAUGUGCCUUGUGCUGUGGUUUACAGCUGUUUGAGAUUUGCCUUAAGUCUGAUCUGCUUUUGUGUUGGUGCUCAUCUGCACCUUAGUUAAGUGUUUGAUCUGCUUGUGUUGUUGCUUAUUUGCAUCUCAAUUAAGUUUAUUGGUCAAUAUUGUGAUCUCUAGUUUGUGUGUGUGAU